rnacentral:misc_RNA from 1 species
AUUUUUCCCAGCCAGUACCAAGCACAACUACCCCACUACAACCAGCCACGCAAUCUUCCCAGCCGAUACCGAGCACAACUAGUCCACACCAAGCAGCCAUGCAAGCCUUUGCCUUGACAAGAAACAUUCAAUUACCAUCCAGAGAGAGUGAAGAUGCUGCAAUGACACGAGCUAUUCUGGCAGUUCUAACUUCUCCUUCAUCUUCUACCAGUUCUUCAAUAACACCUAACCUACCUUACCAUUACCGGGAAAGCCAGAGAACUAGUGCUUUCAAGAAUUAUCUGACCCCCACAAGACUAAUGAGCCAAAGUUUACGCAAGCAAAGUAUGCUUAAAAGGGCAAUCACUUAUUACAGGAGCUUAAAUACUGUGAGACGGGAACAUAUGCUGGCAAGUCGCCCUACCUGCGCUCUGAUAUCAUGUGGUGCAACUG